GUUGUAUGGUUAAGUGACUAAGCGUACACGGUGGAUGCCUUGGCAGUCAGAGGCGAUGAAAGACGUAGUAACUUGCGAUAAGCCCAGAUUAGGUAGUAACAACCAUUUGAGUCUGGGAUUUCUGAAUGGGGAAACCCACKURCAUAAGYAMGUAUCMUUAMCUGAAUACAUAGGKUAAKGAGGCGAACCGGGGGAACUGAAACAUCUAAGUACCCCGAGGAAAAGAAAUCAACCGAGAUUCCGAAAGUAGCGGCGAGCGAAAUUGGACUAGCCCUUAAGCUUUACACGCGUUAGACGAACGGUCUGGAAAGUCCGACGAUACAGGGUGAUAGUCCCGUAGUUGACGACGUGUGUUCAGUGAAAUCGAGUAGGGCGGGACACGUGAUAUCCUGUCUGAAUAUGGGGGGACCAUCCUCCAAGGCUAAAUACUACUGACUGACCGAUAGUGAACCAGUACCGUGAGGGAAAGGCGAAAAGAACCCCUGUGAGGGGAGUGAAAUAGAACCUGAAACCGUGUACGUACAAGCAGUAGGAGCAGGCUUGUCCUGUGACUGCGUACCUUUUGUAUAAUGGGUCAGCGACUUAUAUUCAGUGGCAAGGUUAACCAUCUAGGGGAGCCGUAGGGAAACCGAGUCUUAACUGGGCGUUCAGUCUCUGGAUAUAGACCCGAAACCAGGUGAUCUAGCCAUGGGCAGGUUGAAGGUUGAGUAACAUCAACUGGAGGACCGAACCGACUAAUGUUGAAAAAUUAGCGGAUGACUUGUGGCUAGGGGUGAAAGGCCAAUCAAACCUGGAGAUAGCUGGUUCUCCCCGAAAGCUAUUUAGGUAGCGCCUCGGACGAAUACUACUGGGGGUAGAGCACUGUUAAGGCUAGGGGGUCAUCCCGACUUACCAACCCUUUGCAAACUCCGAAUACCAGUAAGUACUAUCCGGGAGACACACGGCGGGUGCUAACGUCCGUCGUGGAGAGGGAAACAACCCAGACCGCCAGCUAAGGUCCCAAAUUACUACUAAGUGGGAAACGAUGUGGGAAGGCUCAGACAGCCAGGAUGUUGGCUUAGAAGCAGCCAUCAUUUAAAGAAAGCGUAAUAGCUCACUGGUCGAGUCGGCCUGCGCGGAAGAUGUAACGGGGCUAAGUAGUAAACCGAAGCUGCGGCAAURURCUUUUGYAYAUUGGGUAGGGGAGCGUUCUGUAAGCGGUUGAAGGUGUGUGGUAACGCAUGCUGGACGUAUCAGAAGUGCGAAUGCUGACAUGAGUAACGAUAAAGGGGGUGAAAAACCUCCUCGCCGGAAGACCAAGGGUUCCUGUCCAACGUUAAUCGGGGCAGGGUAAGUCGACCCCUAAGGCGAGGCCGAAAGGCGUAGUCGAUGGGAAACGGGUUAAUAUUCCCGUACUUCUUACAAUUGCGAUGGGGGGACGGAGAAGGCUAGGUGGGCCUGGCGACGGUUGUCCAGGUUCAAGUGCGUAGGCUUAAGAGUUAGGUAAAUCCGGCUCUUUUUAAGGCUGAGACACGACGUCGAGCUACUACGGUAGUGAAGUCAUUGAUGCCAUGCUUCCAGGAAAAGCCUCUAAGCUUCAGAUUGUAAGGAAUCGUACCCCAAACCGACACAGGUGGUCGGGUAGAGAAUACCAAGGCGCUUGAGAGAACUCGGGUGAAGGAACUAGGCAAAAUGGUACCGUAACUUCGGGAGAAGGUACGCUCUYGAYGGUGAAGUCCCUCGCGGAUGGAGCURWYGAGAGUCGCAGAUACCAGGUGGCUGCAACUGUUUAUUAAAAACACAGCACUGUGCAAAAUCGUAAGAUGACGUAUACGGUGUGACGCCUGCCCGGUGCCGGAAGGUUAAUUGAUGGGGUUAGACUUCGGUCGAAGCUCUUGAUCGAAGCCCCGGUAAACGGCGGCCGUAACUAUAACGGUCCUAAGGUAGCGAAAUUCCUUGUCGGGUAAGUUCCGACCUGCACGAAUGGCGUAAUGAUGGCCACGCUGUCUCCACCCGAGACUCAGUGAAAUUGAAAUCGCUGUGAAGAUGCAGUGUACCCGCGGCUAGACGGAAAGACCCCGUGAACCUUUACUACAGCUUGGCACUGAACAUUGACCCUACAUGUGUAGGAUAGGUGGGAGGCUUUGAAGCACGUACGCCAGUAUGUGUGGAGCCGUCCUUGAAAUACCACCCUUGUAGUGUUGAUGUUCUAACGUCGACCCCUUAUCGGGGUUGCGGACAGUGCCUGGUGGGUAGUUUGACUGGGGCGGUCUCCUCCCAAAGAGUAACGGAGGAGCACGAAGGUGGGCUAAUCACGGUUGGACAUCGUGAGGUUAGUGCAAUGGCAUAAGCCCGCUUGACUGCGAGAAUGACAAUUCGAGCAGGUGCGAAAGCAGGUCAUAGUGAUCCGGUGGUUCUGAAUGGAAGGGCCAUCGCUCAACGGAUAAAAGGUACUCCGGGGAUAACAGGCUGAUACCGCCCAAGAGUUCAUAUCGACGGCGGUGUUUGGCACCUCGAUGUCGGCUCAUCACAUCCUGGGGCUGAAGUCGGUCCCAAGGGUAUGGCUGUUCGCCAUUUAAAGUGGUACGCGAGCUGGGUUUAGAACGUCGUGAGACAGUUCGGUCCCUAUCUGCCGUGGGCGUUGGAAGAUUGAAGGGGGCUGCUCCUAGUACGAGAGGACCGGAGUGGACGAACCUCUGGUGUUCGGGUUGUGUCGCCAGACGCAUUGCCCGGUAGCUAAGUUCGGAAUCGAUAACCGCUGAAAGCAUCUAAGCGGGAAGCGAGCCCUGAGAUGAGUCUUCCCUGAUACUUUAAGUAUCCUAAAGGGUUGUCGGAGACUACGACGUUGAUAGGUCAGGUGUGUAAGUGCUGUGAGGCAUUGAGCUAACUGAUACUAAUUGCCCGUGAGGCUUAACCAUACAACACCCAAGGGGUUU
rnacentral:rRNA from 1 species